UUCUUUCCAAGAAAAAGGCAAGGCGAGAUGGGAACUAUCGGGGGCAGUUACCGUGUAAAACCGUCGAAAAGGCAUAUCAGUAGCUCAGGAUACUGCAUGGCAUAAACGGGGUUUUGACAGUCUAAAAUCACACACAUUCUUGAUAUCCAAGCAAAAGUAUGGAGGAAAGAUAGUGAAGUAUGUCAUGUCCCAUCGUAUCUGGAACGUGCCAGUCAGGUUACGAAGAAACCGGACAGGCCAGGUUGUACGUGCACUUGACUGUGUCCACAAUCACUGUGUCAAGUUACUGAAGUGUCAGUGGUGAGAAGGGACUCAAGGAGCUUAUUGAAGAUGCCCUGUUGAGAUUUUAGAGGGUGAUGGAGAUGAUAAUUAAGUAAUUCGCGUGAAAAGGAACUUAAACCUUACACUACAGAAACUUUUUGAUAAAAAUCAUGUCAACAACAUUUUCAUAAUGAAGAACUCAGACUGUCAGCAAAGGGUCACCACUACCAAGCGGGUUUUAAAACUUAUUCCAAACCUGGCGGAGUUCUUCAAAAAUCGACCAUGAAAAUCAUGUUUAAUAAGUUUAUUCUUAUUAUAUUCAUUGAUGAAGCUAUUUUCCUCUUAACUGGUAUAAUUAUGUGAUUUAAUGCGCCAUAUUUCUUAA